GGGGCGGAGCGCGCGUGCGCGGGAGGGGCGGGGGCGCACGUGUGAGGGAGGGGGCGGGGCGCCAAAGCUCCACCCGCCGCGCGUGCAGUCUUUCUCAGGACCCGGGUGCCGGGAACCUGUGGAUCGUCUUCCCCGGUUUCAGUUUCCCCUCUACAUCAGCGUGCCAGACGGUUUCCCCCGUCCUGGGCCGGAAGGCUAGGAUGCGCCCCACUGUCACCUUCCCCAGGGGCAAAGGCUGGGGGGGGUCCCUUCCCCGGAGAGUGACGGGGGGCCGGGGUCACUGCCCGUGGGGUGAACGUGUGGGGCCGGGAGGUCUCUUCCCCGGGGUAGAAGGCAGGGGGCCGGGCCGGGGUCAUUGCCCGCGGAGUGAAGACGGAGGGUGGGGGGUGGUCUCUUCGCCGGGGGCGAAGGCGGGGGACCAGGGUCACUGCCCAGGAGGUGAAGGUGGGGGCCGCGCUCCGCGCGUGGGGCGCAGUAGUAACUGCGAGUAACGAGCGCUUCCGGCGCGUCAGCCGCUAAAUAUAAGGUGCUGAGCGCAUUUUCUCUUUUAAUCCCGCCCCUCCCCCCAAACCUGCGGUGGCGUUCCGCGUCCCUUAAAAUAAAUCCCAGCCGGCCACCAGGGCCUCCGAGACCCGCCUGACCUGGCCUGCUUGCCGCUUUGCCCGGCUCCGGCUCGGAGGCCUCGCUGUGAAGUGGAGAAACGGGCCGCCCCCUCCUGUUCGCCAGACCCCCUUCUUGCCUGCACAGCCCUUUGCUCGAUUGGUGAUUAUGUCUGCGCUUGCUUUCUGCCUGUCUCUCCCUCUUGACCUCAGAUCAGCGACUAGUAUUAGGUCCUGAAAAAAACUUGUAAGUGCCAAACGAAAAAUGAAAGCCGCUGCAGAGAACACCUUACGGCAACCUGCACAUAGGCUCGGGUUCCCCAUUUUACAGAGGAAACUGAGACCCAGCACAGGACAGUUGCCCCGCCUGCCCUUUGUGAAUCCCCCCAUUCCACCAGCACCCGGCAACAGUAAGAGAACAGUAUUGGGUUGGAGAAAAGGGAGCACAGAAGGAGCAGAAGAGAAGAUAGAAAAGUCUUCUUAAUAGAUCUGCCAAGAUUUACCAGUGCAUCUCGGCUCCUGGAGAAUUGCGCUGUUUCUCCUUUUGCCAGAUUGAGAAGACAGCUGACCUGCCCAUCUCACUGCUGGAUGUGAGGACCCCAGAAGAUAAUGCCUCUGACGGGCUUUAGAGAGGCGCUAGGGGCCCGUGCAUGGGAGAUGGUGGUCCCUGCAGAGGACCGCAGAAGCAGCUGGCCGGGUUUCCACUGCACCCACGAGCCACGUACCAAGCCCUGUGUGUUUGGAGGACAGCGUCCCUUAUUAAGGACAGGUGUGAAGAUAAGGACCCAGGACCUGGCCCGGGGUUCCAUCGCAGCCCGUGUCCUGUAGCAGGUGAGGGGCACGUGGCCACAGAAGGCCACUUUGUGACUGAUGUGAACUUGAGAAAGAAUGAUGGGCCCAGCCACUGAUUUCACAGGUAUCAUUGCUUAGUAGGAGCAAAAACAAAACAGGUGAGUUGAUUUAAAGACGUAUUAGUAAUAGAUAGGUGGACACAGAUAAAACAGAAAUCGAGUCUGGAGUCUGAAGCAGGGGACAUGCCAGCAGGGUGGGACCUUGCCUGUCCCCUCCUCUCCUUCGGGACCUAACGCACGAGAUGGGGAGAUGUCCACCCGCUGGGAGGGAGCCUUUGCCCAGAGAGAGCCAGGAGCCAGGAGGAAGCUGAGGGCUGCAGGCGGAUGGGCGGCAAGGGCAAGGCUGGCUUUGAAGGUGACCCGUACCAGGAGCCUUUCAGGCAGGUCACAGGGCUGGGAGGCCCGGGCGGCUGUGUUCAGGGCCUCUGUGGUCAGGGAGUAAAGACAAGAAAAGCAGGCCAGGAAUUCUCCCCGAGGUCUCCGCUCUCUGUGAAUCCAGUGGGAAUCCAUCCCCGUCCCCGGGGCCUGCAGGCCUGUUUUCCCUGGAGGCUCUGUGAGCACCGGUGGCUUGAGGUUCAUGCAUCUUUGGACCCCCCUCCUCUCCUCGCCCUUCUCCUUUACGCCUUCUUUGCUCUUCCAUCUCCCUCUCCUCCCCCUCCCCCUCCCCUACCUCCACUCCUCGUCUCCCCCGCCGGCCGCCCACCCAGCUGAGCCUUCUGGUGAUGAGGCGUGCUGUGGGAAGUAAACAGAAGCGUGUUAGGACCCAGCUCCAGCUCAGCAGCCUCGGCCCACCUUUCCAGGCCCAGCUGGGUGGGAGAGGUAAGCAAGGUUGAUGGGACUCUGGCAGCCCCAGACACUAGGUCCCCGAGUGUCAGACUCUAACGUGGCGGCCCUUCGGAAAUACAGAGAGAAAACACUUAGAGAACAUCCUGGGAACAGGAAGCUGGAUAGACCAGUCGGCUUUCCUCUCCUGGUGAUGAUUAAGCCCCUCGAUACUGAGGGCUUUCAGAGCUCAGGAACAGCUUAGGGUGCACAUUGCUGGGACCCCUUGGCCACCUUCAGCACCCAGGGCCGGUCAGGCAGAGUUGGCUGGCCUCCUGGCCCCAGAGACUCCUGGCUGUGCCUCCAGCACGAAAAGUGGGGCCCAGGUUGUGCCUCGUGCUGUGAGGAUGGAAAGUGCAAGCGAGCUGUUUGCACCAGGCCAGCGUGUGGGAGGGACCCUCGUAACCCCUCAUCCUGGGUCACCAGCGUCCGCUUGCACGUGUGGGGCCUCCCUGAGCGGGAUGAUGGGAAAGGUAGUUGGCGACCGGGGCCUGCCACGUACACAGGGAGGGUUGAGGGAGGCUGCGGUCCCCUGGGCCCUCAGCAUCCCCAGCUGGGCCCCCCUCACCCCUUCCCUCUGCCUGGGCUCCCUCGCCUCAUAUAGGGAAGAAGAGGUGUCCAGGUCAGAGAGUCAGUGGUGAGGGUUUGGCUCCUCCCACCGCCCGCCCCCGCCAGACUGGCAGGGACGGCUGCUGACAGCAGGAGUGGGACAAAGACAGGUUUCAAAGGGGAGAAGGAAAUUGCCCAGAGACGGAGCACGCGGGGGGCCGCUCCUGGUUCCUCCCGCCUCUCCCUCUGCUAUGUGCCCUGGGCGUCUCCUCCGGCCCAGCUUCUCCUGGGGCAGGGUGCCGUCACCCCCGGUGGCGGGGAGGCCAGUGGCUCAGGGUGACCUGCCCUCACACCCUAAGAGCUUCCACGCUGGCCUCGGGUUCUAGCGCAGAGCUUGGCACGAGGCAGGUGCACCAUCGCUGUUUGGCUCAUCUUAAAGGGGGCCACGAGAGAGCCCUGGACAGGGGCUCUGCCAGCAUUCCGUGCCAGCCGCCCGCACCUUGCCUCCUGGUGGGUCCCGAGAGGAGGUCGGAAAAGGGGUGUGGGCAGUGGGGAAGGGGACUGUAGGGUCCCCUGUGUUCCCCUGAGCGCACUACCUGCACAGUCAGGGUCGUUUGUAUUUAUCGACAGCAGAUCCCUCUAAGGGCCCAGUGGUGAUGCGUGUAUGUGUUUGGCAGCAGACACUCACUGGAGCGUUUUCACAGCAAAGCUGGAGACCCCACGACCCAUGACCUCUAGCAGGAGACUGGGUCAGUCUGGGCACCGCACAUGAGCAGACCAUGGCUGCACAGACAGGGCCACGAGGGAAAGACACACAGAGAACAAAUGCCCUGUACAGAGUCACAGGCCCCCGCAACAUACACCGGCUGUUAGAGGUCAGGAUGGCGGUCCCCCAGGGCCCAGUGGUGAGGAGACCAGCCUGGGCUAGAUGCUCAGCCAGGGUCACACGGCCACUGAGUGGCCGACCUGGGAUCCCGAUCUGAGUCUCAGGCUGCUGGCCCGGACACCCUACCUCGUGGCACUCCCUGCUCAGCCGCGGGGGAGACACCAGACGCGGCUUCUUCAUUCAGGGAACGCACGCUGUACAGGUGCCCCAGAUGCAGACUGUCCUGAGGCUGCAGCUGGGCACUGUGGGGAGAGUUCCCUCACCUUGUCCUCUCUUGACCCCGUACAAAGGAUGCAGGAUGUGUCCCAGGGAGUUGCCACGGUAACCCAAAGGCCUACCCGGGGAGUGUCCUAGGAUGUGAACUCCAAGUCAGCUCCAAGGCUGGGCGCUUGUCUUUGCACCUGCCUGAUGGGGCAUGAGCGCUGGCCUGGCAGAACCGCGGCCCCCAGGAAUGAAGUCGUGUAAAUAAAGGAGUGGGGGACUUUCCUGGUGGUCCAGUGGUUAAGACUCCACAUUCCCAAUGCAGGGGGCCCAGGUUGGAUCCCUGGUCAGGGAACUAGAUCCCGCAUGUCACAACUAAAAGUCCACAUGCUGCAACUAAAAGAUCCUGCACGUGGCAACGAGGAUCCGCAUAGUAAAUAUUAAAAAUUAAAUAGUUUAAAUAUUUAACAUUAAAUAUUUAAUAUUUUAAAUAUUAAAAUAAAAAAAAUAAAAUAAAGAAGUGGUAGAGACAGUCCAGCCCUCCCAAAGCCUGUGGUCACCUGGCAGUGCUCGGGAGCCAACGUGAGGACCCCUCGUCUGCAUACUGACAUUCUCACUUGGCGAGAGGCUGGAGUGUGGAUGGAAAGCAUCCUGCCGGGCACAUGGGUGUUUCUGCAAGUGUGAAGGUCCACCCUGUGGACACCAUACACCUUCCCUUCUGUGGCUGCCUUAACCCCCCGAACGCAAAGGCUCGGUGGCCAAGCCUGGGCACCGAGGCAGACGCUUGUCGUGACGUGGACGCCCUCGGGCGUGUGUGGCAGGAGGGGCAGCAUGCGGGCCGGGCUGAGAAGCGGGCUCUCCUCCAGGAAGAUGCCUCGGUCCAGAGCUGCUUCCAGGUUUUCCAGGAGGUUUCAGCAGCUGGACGGGGCGGACGGCACCAAAAACACAUUGCCAAGGCUCGUGUUGCUCAUACAAGCGAUCGCAGACCUCCAGAAGUAUAUAUUUGUCUUUCCCAAGCAACAAACACGAGAACCACAUUUGCCUUGGGAGUCUCCCUGGGUUCGGGGAAGUGUUUUCACAAGUGGCGUUUACCAUGCUCCCUGGGAUCUCGGGGCCAGCGGCCCCGAGUCUGAUCUCUCUCCACGCUGGGCUGGCCUGAACUCACGCUUAUUCGUUCGUUCAUUUGUUUGCUUAGCAACAUUAUUGAGGUAUUAUUUACAUACCAUAACAUUCACCCAUUUAAGGUGUUCAGCUCAGUGGUGUUUAGUAUAGUCACAGAAGUGUGCAGCCACCACCACCGUGUAAUUCCAGAACAUUCCAAUCACAACUCCCCAAACCCUAUAGCCACUAGCGGUCACUCCCCACCGCCCUGUCCCCCAAGGCCCCGGUAACCACUAUGGAUUUGCCUGUUCUGGACAUUUCCCAUUCAUGGAAUCAUACACUAUGUGGUCUUUUGUGACUGGCUCCUUUCACUAUGCAUACGUUUAUGAAUGUUUUCAAGGCUCAUCCGGGUUGCAGCACGUAUGAGUACUUUGUUUCUUUCUGUAGCUGAAUAACAUUCUGUUGUAUGCUGGUGUUUACGUGUUCAGCAGUUGAUGGACAUUUGGUUUGUUUCCACCUUUCAGCUACUGUGAAUAAUGCUGCUGUAAACACUGUGUACAAGGCUUUGUGUGGAUGUAUGUUUUCAUUUCCCCCGGCAUAUACCCCGGAGUAGAACUGCCUGCUCAUAUGGUGAGUCUAUGUUUAACAUUGUGAAAAACCACCAGACGGUUUUCCAAAGUGGCUGCACGUCUUUAUAUUCCCACAGCAACGUGUGAGGGGAGCCUGGUCCUCGUUUGAUGCUCUCUGGGGACAGGGUGUCCAUGUCUCAGCAGGGCUGUUCCUUCAUUUGGGGAUGAAAGGCAUUUCCCUGCUCAGAGGAGUGCCUCGGCACCAGGCGUCCACAUGCUCCGUCAGCAGUCACUCAAGGGGCCGACUUCCGUACUCAGAUGAGCAGGGCAGAGAGAGGUUUCUUUUACCACAGGCCUUGGGAGAGGACUGGCGGGCCGCUCCUGGGAAAGCUGCGCUGGGGUUGCCGCGCAAGCAGCCAGCCUUUUAUCCCAGUCAGCCAUGUGGCACAGGGGUCCCCGACCCCCGGGCCGUGGAUGAGCAGCGGUCCGCCGCCUGUUAGGAACCAGGCCGCACAGCAGGAGGUGAGCGGCGGGCAAGUGAGCGAAGCUUCGUCCGCCGCUCCCCGUCGCUCGCAUCACCGCCUGAGCCAUCCCCCACUCCCCCUGCCGUCCGUGGAAAAAACGGUCUUCCAUGAAACUGGUCCCUGGUGCCAGAAAGGUUGGGGACCGCUGAUGUAGCACGGGAGACGCAGGCCUUCAGCCUGGAGUCCCCAGACCUUACAGCUCCAGGUCUUCAGGCCUGUACUCACCAUCCCUGCCCUGAUACAAGCAGACCUCAGAGAUGUUGUGGGUUCCGUUCCAGACCACCGCAAUAAAGCGGAUAUCACAAUAAAGUGAGUCAUGACUUUUUUGGGUUUCCCAGUGCGUAUAAAAGUUAUUUUUACGCUGUAGUCUAUUAAGUGUUGGGUAGCAUUGCGUCUGAAAAACCUUGUACGUACCUUAGUUUUAAAAUAAUGCUGUUGGAAAAAUGGUGCUGAUAGACUUGCUAAACGCAGGGUUCCCACAAAACUUGUUUGUGAAAAAUGCAACAUCUGCGAAGUGCGAUAAAGCAAAGCAUAAUAAAACAAGGUGUGCUUGUAGAAUGCAGACUAUGCAUUCUAA